GAUGAACGCUGGCGGCGUGCCUAAUACAUGCAAGUCGAGCGAACAGACGAGGAGCUUGCUCCUCUGACGUUAGCGGCGGACGGGUGAGUAACACGUGGAUAACCUACCUAUAAGACUGGGAUAACUUCGGGAAACCGGAGCUAAUACCGGAUAAUAUAUUGAACCGCAUGGUUCAAUAGUGAAAAACGGUUUUGCUGUCACUUAUAGAUGGCUCCGCGCUGCAUUAGCUAGUUGGUAAGGUAACGGCUUACCAAGGCGACGAUGCGUAGCCGACCUGAGAGGGUGAUCGGCCACACUGGAACUGAGACACGGUCCAGACUCCUACGGGAGGCAGCAGUAGGGAAUCUUCCGCAAUGGGCGAAAGCCUGACGGAGCAACGCCGCGUGAGUGAUGAAGGUCUUCGGAUCGUAAAACUCUGUUAUUAGGGAAGAACAAAUGUGUAAGUAACUAUGCACGUCUUGACGGUACCUAAUCAGAAAGCCACGGCUAACUACGUG
rnacentral:rRNA from 1 species